rnacentral:piRNA from 1 species
UCAAAGUUGUAGAAUAGCUACAGGGUGCUAC